CGGGAUGUGACGCGAUAGGACCUUCCCUGCUCUGUGAUUUAAAUAUGACGUGUGCUUAGGAGGCGUAGACAAGGCAAGGUGUGUAUUUAAGGAGCGGCCACACUGUAAUAAAUGCCAUUUGCUAUAUCCUCAUAUAGGUGUCUGUGUAGCAAUGGCCCUAGCGAGGGUAGAUCGCUAGCCCCUGGCGGAAUGUGCCUCAGAAGCAGGAACAACAAAUGGUGCCCCGUGUGAGGAAGAAUAGGUCCGUCGCUCCCCAAUGUCCCAGGUGUUGCCUGAGAUCCGGUGAGGGAUCUGCUCCUGGCCAGGAGGAUGGAGUGGAGGAGAACAAGAUGGCAACUGUUUCCUGACCCACCCCUCGCCACUGUAUCCGGUCCGACCGACUCGACCCGGAUAUCCUUUUAUGGAGUUGAGGGCGCAUGCGACUGAUCAGGGGUCUCCACAACAGGGAGGACCUGUUUUGUUGGCUAUUUCAAGGGGUUGGCCGAUGGUGGUCAUUGACCUCAAGGUCUGCUUUUUCUCUAUCCCUCUCACAGAAGAGGACCGAGAAGCAUUUGCCUUCACGUUUCCGGUGACUAAUAAUGAAGGGCCUGCAGAGAGAUAUCAAUGGCGUGCCCUCCCUCAGGGAAUGAUGUGCUCCCCUACAGUGUGUCAACUAGUAGUGGGAAAUGUUCUGAAGGCGGUCUGAAAAGAUUUCCCUCAGUAUAUGGUUGUACAUUAUAUGGACAAUCUAUUGCUUGCUGCUCCCUCUUAUUUGGGGCUACAUAUGCUUGAGACUCGGGUAGUGGAAACCUUGACCACUGCCAGAUUUGUUAUCUCUGAACAAAAAUUGCAGAGGGGCCCGGGGGUUGAAUACCUCGGAUAUAAGUUUCGCCCAGAGAUGGUUCGGCCAACAGGGCUUGACAUUUGACCCCACAUUACCACCCUGUGGGAUGUGCAGAAGUUGGUGGGGGCAAUUCAGUGGGUCCGAGGGGCCUUGGGAAUUGCCUCCCGGCUUAUGAAACCCUUCUAUGAUCAACUGAAGGAGGUGGACCCGAGAGAACCUCGAGAGCUCACCCAUGAUAUGGCUGCUGCAUGGCAUGAAAUUCUGCAGUGUUGUAUGGUGCAGUCGCUAGCGCGGUGGGACCCCAAUCUAGAUCUUGAAGUAGCAGCGACUCGAUGCGAGGCCGGUACAACUGCCAUUUUGGGCCAUACCCUUGAUGCUAAGCCACGACCUCUGUGGUGGUUGUUUUCAGUGCAGCCUACGUGAGUCUACACUUCCUGGCUUGAGAUCUUAGCAAUGCUGCUCAGGAAGUCCCUAUUGCUAUUGUUGCAGGCCCUGGCAAGAGAACCUCAUGUUAUAUACCUGCAGAGCUCAUUUCGGGACAUGCAGCCGCUCCCUGAAGCCCUUCUUACGGUGUUGCGGGGCUUUGGGGGAAGCACUGUGUACUCUGAUUCGUUACCCAUUUUUGAUUUAGCUAAGCCCCUCAAUGUCUCCCUUCGAUCUCGUGUCCUAACCUCUCUGCUUGAUGGGCCCACCCUGUUCACGGAUGCAUCUUCAACCACCGGACAGGGGCAGGACUCAAGCAACAGUUGGGAGACCGCUGUUUUUACCGAUCAGACAGCUAGUGUGCAAAUGCUUGAGGUGAUGACUGUGGCGGUAGCAGUGCAUUUGUGGUGAGAGAUUCCAUGUAACAUCGUCACUAAUUCUGCUUUCGUGGCCAGACUGCUUGUCUACAUGGAUCAAGAAGGGCAUCUGAGCUCUGAGGCCGCUGGCCUCCUAGAAGAAGCUUUGGCUUCCUGCUCAGCUCCUGUGGCCAUCUUGCAUGUCUGCAGCCAUUCUGAUGUGCCAGGCUUCUUUACAGCAGGGAAUGCUGUAGUGGACAGAGCUGCCCAUACACUUGUUUUCAUGGUUCACGAAGCCCGUGACCUUCAUGCCACCCUUCACAUAGGCGCCCGUGCACUGGCUAGGACAUGUUCCAUUCCUUUGUCUGUUGCACGCGAUGUUGUUCAGGGAUGUCCCCACUGUAAUUCUGCACCUGUAAUAGAGGCUGGAGUUAACCCCCAUGGUCUCGGACCAUUACAAAUUUGACAAACAGAUUUCACUUGGGAACACCAUCUGUCCCCCCACCCUUGGCUUACCAUCACGGUGGAUACUUCCUCCAUUGUCAUCGUAGCCACGCAGCAUGCUAAGUCUAACUUGUCCGUGGCACAAUAUCAUUGGGUUGCUGCCAUUGCUGUGAUGGGCUUGCCUAAUCAGAUUAAGACUGAUAAUGGGUCCUGCUUCAUCUCGUAAAACAUCUUGAGAUGGGAAAAAUAGUAUGGGUACCAUUGCGGAAAGUUAAAUCAGAUGCCAGCAAGGAAAUAACCGGACUAUGAGCCUUCUUGUUCACAGGUUUGGCUCCUGGGGAGGCCUAAACCACAGACAGAGGAGACAAGAGAACAAAAAAAAAGGAGCCGUUCCUGAAAGCUCCUGCUAAGACUGCAGCACAUGCUAAGUAUACAACACUUUUGCUUAUAGUAUCGGCAAUAGGUACUGCUCAGGCCUGGGAAAGCAACGGGUAUGUCAACGUUACCCACGUAAUGGCCCAGCAUUUCAAUUUAUCAGACUGUUGGAUUUGUACUGCCUUACCACGGGGAGGGAACUCCCCUUGCUAGGAGUUCCAGUGCCAUUCAGAAACUGGAGCUUGCCAUGGGACGCGGUGCAAGUACAGUACAUGGGGCGUGGCGAAAGUUUGUAUUGGUUUGUGCGGGCUUCAUGUGGUCUGGCGGGGCACGCAUCCCUACUCCCUAGCGGGGAAACAUUAUGCUGGAGUUUUCAGGACCCCUUGACCUCUUGACCGCCCAAGGUCAUGAAACCAGACGUAGCUUGUUAUCUGAAUACUAGCUCUCCGAGGUUUGAGAUGCUAUCCCCAUGGCCGAACAAUACUGUUGUCCUGGCGCAGAAUGGCAGCUACAGUGUGGGUCAUUUUUCAGCAGUGAACGUUACUUGAUGCCCAAGCUCAGAGCACUGCCCUAGGCCGAUAGUGGUGGCCUUGAGCAAUCCUGGCGGUACCCCACUGGGAUGUCCUCCCAAAGGUCUAUGGUGGCUGUAUGGGGAUGGCCGAGCAAGGAAAAGUGUACCAUCUGAUUGGAGUGGCUCUUGCACCUUGGGAGCCCUCAUUCCAAAUGUUGUCUGGCAUAACUGAUCGGCACCUCCUCCUGGAAUCCUACGAACACACUGGAGGAGAGUGCAGAGGGUUCUGAACCCUGUAGUGGAGAAACCUACUGGUUUACACAGUUUUGCUAGAUGGUUCAUCCCAUCCUUGGGGGUGAGUGAGUUAGAGAAAACGUUUGUUAACAUUUCAGCCACCUUGGAAAUGAUAGAAAAUGCCACCGUUGAUGCAAUCAGGACAUUACAAGGAGAAGUCUCUACACUUAGCAAGGUGGUAUUACAGAAUAGGAUGGCAUUAGACCUCUUAAUGGCAAAAGAAGGAGGAGUCUGUGUGGUAAUAAACCACAGCUGCUGUGCCUAUGUCGAUAAGACUCAGAGGGUAGAGACGGGCAUACAAGCAAUAUGGGAACGGACUAAAUUACUCCAUCAAGUGUCCAUGGACGAUACUUCAUGCGGAUUUCGGGACUUAUGGGAGAAGCUCAUGAGUUGGUUACCUGACUUCACAUGGCUGAAGCAACUCUUCAUCGUUUGUGUCAUCAUAAUGAUCAUACUUAUAUUAAUGUGAGUCACUAUGCGAUGUAUGUUGUGCCUAUGUAUAAAUUCUGGGAAGGGCUAUGGAAAAUGGAAAAAACUCAGGUUAGGGCAGCAACUAAGGUACUUAUAGUUGCCUUGCCUCUAAUUGUAUUAUAUGUAAUAUAAUCGCCAUAUGCUGUAGCAAGUAGACUAGCUUAAAAGACCCAACAUAGCUUGCCAUCCCCUCUGUGUCCUAGGCUGGCGAUCUCGGUGGGUGUUGAUUAAGAAAUUGCAGUCACGCUGUAACGGGGCAAGACUUUACUGAGCAUGGGGAGGGGGAAAUAUUGCAGUAGGCGUUAACGGGGACUCGAGAUGUGACACGAUAGGACCUCCCCUGCUCUGUGAUUUAAAUAUGACAUGUGCUUAGGGAGCGUAGACAAGGCAAGGUGUGUAUUUAAGGAGCUGCCACGCUGUAAUAAACGCCAUUUGCUAUAUCCUCAUAUAGGUGUCUGUGUAGUAAUGGCCCUAGCGAGGGUAGAUUGUUAGCUCCCGGCAGAACGUGCCUGUGAAGCGGGAGCAACAAACGUGCGUGUCGCUAAUGUGCAUAACAGAACUUGCCUUACCCAUGGGUUACCAGGAGGCUAAGAAAAGUAAUCUAACACCUAGGCCAACUUGCAGACUCCUUGGGUAAUUCAUGCCGGACGAGUCACCUCAGCAUGUGCCAGAUUUUCACAUAUAAUAUGAUUACAAGUAAUAAACAAAUCAGUGUUAGAAUUAAUAAAAUCACAACUGGGUGAAGCACAGAAUUAAAAGCUCCUCUUGCUGUUGGUGACCAUCCAAGAAGCAUUUCCCACCAGUGGUGUUCUCCAUCCUUCUUCACCCUUUCUAGGACAUGGUGUAUCUCUUUUGUAUCAUGGUGAACAGUAAUUAGAAUUUUUUUGUCUGUUAUCUCAGAUGCAUUCUAGCAGUUGGUACAGAUCAUCAUGUUGCAGUAAUUUCUUUAAUAAAUCAAGGUUCAUUCCACUUGAUGCAGGUAGCCAAUGUUGGAUUAAUGUGUAAUUGGAUCAUAACAAUUGAUAUGAUGUAACUGCAACUGAAUAAUUAGAGUCACAUCCCAUAAUGUUGGUAAAGUUACAAACACAAACAUUUGAAUGAUUCCUUGUAUCUAUAGUAAUAUUACCUAUGAGUAUAAAAUUACAAGAAGUUCUCAUACACACACAUCCUUUUCCACUAUAGACAAGCACUGUUUCAGGGGUUUCAUUGGGAUACACCUCAAAACAGCAAAUAUUUUGCUUAGUGUCAAGACAAAUGUCUUGAGCCUUGAUGGUAUUACUUUCACAAAUAAAUCCUUGUUGUUCCCAUACAGCAAAUGAACUAACAUUAACAGUUUGCCAUUUGUUUCCAUUUUGCUGGGCCCAUACUGUGUGUUCUAAUGGGUAGAGUAUAAACUAGUUGUGAUUCAGUCCCAGCACAAUGAUUGGGUAUACAAUAUAUACUGAAGCACUGUGUAUUAUUAGGACAAAAGCUAUAGCAUAGUUAUUAACAGGAUCAUAAGUGAAAUUAACUAGAUGCCCCUAAGAUUGAAAUUUUCUUUCAGAUUUGUCUGCAUUGUCCAAGAUCACCUUUUGAAUUUUAGUGUGUAAAGCAUUUCCUUUACCUUCUACAACUAAGAGCUAGGGAGACAUUAUUUUGAGUUAUGGCAAGUAUAUCUACAAUUAACUGGUGGUCUUUUAUAUUUGUUCUUUCCCAUUGAGAUAAUACAUUAGAUAAGAACCGCUGGUUGGUUCCCAGUGCUGAUGGGGAAGACUGGGUUUUGCAAUACACAUAGAUCACCUGUUACAUCCGAUACCCUACCUUUAUUCUAUUCUUUGUCCUACAUUUCCCUGGACUUGGGGAAGUCAGCCAGUACUAUCCUGGCCCCAUUCAUUUCCUGAAUACAUUUCAUUACUGCGCUUAACCACAGUUGAAAGGGUUAAGCCUCUUAGAAUUAGAAUUUGGUCCCAUAUGCCCAACGUAGGCCAAUGUAGGCAUGGGACCAUUACCAGUUAGUGAAUGUGAUAGGGUCAGCAUAAGCAAUUACAAAUAUUAAUCUGAAGAAGAUGCCUGUCCAAAACAGUGACACUGUUGAUGAUACCACAAUGGAUACCACAGGGAUCUCAGGAAAAGGAGCAGGGUGAGAAGGGAACUUGCGAGUCACAGCAUCAGGGUCAGCAUUCAUUAGCAUAUGGAAAACAAAAGAGAGAGAACUUCCUGGUUCCAGAGGAACAAAGGUUAUAGGAGGCAUAGCUGAAAAAGAAAAAAAACAAAACUUUCUAGUCCCAAAUGAACCAAGGUCAAAAGGUAGGUGAAAUCCAGAUGGAUAAUUUUGUACAUUUCCCCUGAUUGUCUUGAGCCUUCCAGAUUUUAUUUUCCAGAUUAACCCUCUUUGAGGGUUAAAGGGACAGAACCAAUGAGGGGCAAAUUAAUUAACACCCGGUUGUCCCGGGGAGUAUUUGUCCGAAUAAGCAGCCCUUUGAGUAAGGGACCACAGGGUGUAAUGGUUGCCAGUAGUGAAAAAUAUUCCAGGUCCUCACAUCCUCCAGACUUUCUCCUGGAUACAAGUCACUGCCUGGGCAACUAGCAUUAAUCUCCCUCUCAUUUACUAUCUGUUCUCUAAGGGCUUGGUUAAAGGAUGACUUUUGAAUGUUUUUCUUUCUCUAACUGUCCCCUAAGGUCUUCUACUUGGCCCUGCAGGUAUGUGACCAGUUCCUGCAAGGACUGAAUAAUUUGAAUUUCUGCCAUGUGCUACUGGUUGGGGAUCUCUACAUCAGCAGUAAGAGCAGCUCCUAGAACUGCACAAAUGGUUGAUUUUCCCUUUCCCUCCUCCAUACGAGUUGUUUGUGGAGGGAAUUUAUAUGAACUGUGACUCCUUCUAAGUUGGACCAGCUAUUCUGUUCCCACCCUAUCCCCACAGGGGAGGGUUUGGCACCAUUUUUUUAAAGAGGUUGAAAAGCGGAUAUCCACCUUUUUUUUUUUUUUUUUUUUUUUUUCCCCAAUGAUCAUGCCUCAAAAUGUGGAGCAAUCUCUUCAGGGGAAAGGAGGAACAUGUAAUAUCCACAACUCAACAAUUUCCUUCUUACACCCCCGAAGGAUCAACUUCCUACUUUUUUCUACCAAUAACGCAUUUGUUGCUACCACCUGGACACAUUGAGGCCAACCUCGAGAUAGAGGGUCUAAUAGCUUAGACAAUUAUGAGUAGAUUUUCUUUUGUUCCCCCCAUUCUUGUGUUAGAACUUCUAGAGUAGCUCCUUCAUUGACACUUAACAAAAAGGUGAGAAGUUUUUUUCAGGGCAGGCAGUUCUAACACUGGUGCUGUGAUUAAGUCCCAUUUUGAUACUUCUACUAAUUCUUUUUCCCCUUUUGUUCAUUUUAAUAUGUUGGGUUCUCCCUCUGAUAGUUUGAGAUACAAUCUCUUUGUCUUUUUGUGCAUAUGCUUCUAUUUGUAAUUGACAGAAUCCAAUUAAACCUAAAAACUUUUGCAACUCCCCCUUUGUUCUGGGCAGAGAAAGCUGCAAAAUUUCCUGAAUUCCUUCAGGAUUUAUUCUGCAUUUCCCUUCAGAAAUCACAUGCCCAAGGUAUCUGACUUCUUUUUCCACAUACUGCAGUUUAUUUUUAGAUACCCUUAGCCCACAUUCCUCCAAGAAGUUCAAGAGUUUACUUGUAGUCUUUUUUACUUUAGAGUCCUCUUUGCCACAAAUCAGCAAAUCAUCUACAUACUGUAACAACUUUACCCCCUCUUCAACCUGAAACUUUUUCAAAACUUUCUCCAGCACUUGUCUGCAUAGAUUAGGUGAUUCUGUGAACCCCCGGUGUAAAACAAUCCACAUAUAUUGCUGCUUUCAUCCCAUUUCUGGGUCCUCCCAUUCAAAGGCAAAAAGAUCUCGACUCUCUGAGUCCAAAGGGCAGGUCCAGAAAGCAUCUUUUAAGUUUAUUAUACUAAACCAUUUUUGUUUGUGUGGGAUCUGACUCAUUAGAGUAUAGGGGUCAGGAACUACAGGGUGCACUUGAGAACUAUUUCAUUAAUUUUUCUUAGACCUUGCACCAGUCAAUACGUGCCAUCUGCCUUCUGUACUGACAAAACUGGAGUGUUAAAGGGUGACAUACAGAGUUCCAGAAGACCAUCUCUAACCAAUGCCUAUAUUAUAGGUUUUAGACCCAUUAUCCCUUCUAAAGGUAUGGGAUAUUGUCACAGUUUCACAGCUUCACGUCCUCCUUGGACAGUUAUUUUUAAGGGAGUAACUGUGAGUCUACCCCAGUUUCUUUCCCCUGCCCACACCACUGGAUUUAUUUCUUUUUAUCAUCAGCUGUUAACAAAUUCAUUGAUACCUUUAUACCUGUUCCACACGUUUUCAACUGCAAUCCUAAUGUAACUGUUAAAUCUCUCCCCAAUAAAUUGGUCCCUGCUUCUGGCAAAUUUAACAAUUUCUCUGUGACUAUUUUAUCUUCCUAUUUUAAUUCAGCAUUCUCAAAAAUUGAAACUAUAAUUCCUGAUCCCUGUACCCCUGUUAUUCUUAAAAUGUUCCCAUUUAAAUUAAGUCCUGGUAUUUUAUAAGUUUCAGAUGACCAAGUAUUAAUCAAACUGUUUUGCUAAUCCAAUAGGGUCUUCCAUUAAACAUUUCAUUUUCUUUUAAAAUUUCUCACCCCACUAGUAAGUGGGGAGUUUACAUAUCCUAUAUCUCCUGGUAACAUCGGAACUUCCCUAAGAGGAUACAUGUAAGUGUUAGUGGGGUUAAUGGAGUUAGAUUUAGGAAAGGGGAAAUUUAUAAUAUUCCCUUUGCAUUGUUCCAAUUCACAGAUCUCUGUUCAGAUGGAUGAUGAUUUGAGCCAAUACCCUCCACUCUGUCAGCUGUCUGCAGUCUCCCUGCUGUAGUUACAGGACUUGACUCAAGGACAGGAUGAAUUUCAUCUAGCCAUGAUUAGCUGCUGUACUCCCUGAAUCCAAAAAGCAAGCAGCAUAUGCAGACUCCUCCAAGAAAAAGGAGUUCUAUUGUUUACGUGCAUGUUCUGUAUAUCUACAGUUCAGUAAUUGUCCUGUGUUUUAGAUCUUUUUCUCCACUGUCACUUUCUAUCUGUUACAGAUUACCUUUUCUUAACAUUUAGUUAUACAGUUUAUACCUACUAGCUAAUUUAUUCCUGCUCUUCUGCUGUCAGACAGUUUGCUAACCUAUGUUAUCCUUCACAUGGGAUGCUACUGAUGCUUGUAUAUGAAAUAACUGCAUCUGUGACAGUAAAUGGAAAAGCUAGGAUUGUAACUGAGGCUACCCAGUUAUUUAUGUUUCCUUCAGCCUAUGCUUUCUUUCUCUGCUCCACAGCUUGAGUUAGAUAUAUGUACUCAUGAUGUUCCAACUCUUAUAAAAAAUAAAUAAAUCUGCAUGUUAUGGGCUCAAAGACAUUAAAAUCCAAAGUGUUAAAGCUAAUAUGUGCCAGAUGUUACUCAUAAUUUCUUAACAGAGUUACAUUUCAUUUCCAUGAGCUGCACCAAAAUCUUUACUUCUGCCCCUUGUUUUGGAAAAAAGGAACUACUAGUCUCUCUAGCUCUUUUUUACAUUUUCUUCUGGAUAUUUAUGCAACUCCAUAAGAGAACUUCUUUACUUUUCUGUCAUAGUAAGACAUUUUUUAUGUUUCAGUUCCAGAGUCUUCCCUCUUUUAAGAAUCACUCUCCUUGCAUGAUUUGUCAUACCUUUGGAAAAAUACAUUAUACAUCUGGAAGCAAACCAUUUAAUUGUUUGUCACUGUUCUUCUCAUACGACUCCUGUCUAAGCCCAAAUAAACUAGUAUUCUUCUCCCAUGAUUAGAAAGCAAUAUUUUUGAUUCUCAGUGAUGAAGUUUUAUAUUAUUUUGUGAAUCACUAGGAUUUCUGCUGUUCAGUGAUGCUAGUUCUGCUGACUUACUCUUCUGUUUAACUUUCAAAAGAUACUUCCCUACGGAGUGAAGUUAACAACAGAAGUUUAACAUCCACUUAACCAGCACAGUCUAUUUUCAGUCAUCUUAGAUGUGUCUUUCUAAAAGCCCUUUUUUAUAAAAUGCUGUUCAUUGGCAGUGAUUUUAGGCUUUUCCAAGAAAUUCUGAAACAUUCUGCACUUUCUGAAUUUAUCUUUAGGAUCAUCCCAGAAAGAUACACCCUAGAAAACUUCAAGUUCACAAAUUUUCUGUACACAGAUUUCCUUUCUCACAUCUCACUUAGGUCAGUUCACUUAACAGCUACGUAGUUACUUUGGUGAUUUUAUGCUUUUGUUUUUAAUAGCAAAUCAGAAAUAAAAAUGCAGUAAAAUAUUAGUUACAUUCAUUCACUGUAUUUAGUUUUGCAUUGCUUUAUGUUGCAGUGAUUAUAAUUUAACUAGACAAGAACCAAAAGAAAUAUUUAAUAGAAAAUUAUGAAUAUAAUAUUAACAGUUAGUGAGGAAAUCUCCCUUAUUAAUUUUAUAAAUUUAAUCUCCACUAAAAUAUUACUUGGUUUAAUCUGAUUUUUUCUUGUCUCUUUUAAACUUUUCUUGGCUUAAUUUUUCAUGCUAUAAUAUAAUCAGUGCCCGAAGAUAAUAUUUAAUAGAAUAUUAGGUUGUCUUUCAAUGUGAUUGGGAAAUAGUGUAUUUUUACUUGUACUACGACCAUGGAUUUUACUCAUAGGGCUAAAGUGCAGAUUUAGGUCUUGUUGGUGUGAACUACAACCCUUAUUACAAAGUGCCACACAUAUUUCUCUGAGUCAUAAAACCUUUUAUGGUUUCUACGUGCCUUCUGGGUUCUCCAUAAGAGAUUUUUUUCCAUUAGGCUGUAUCAGAUAAUAAUUGUACUUCUUGCAUUGACUCAACUGUGCUGACAUAUCACUGAAGAGAGGUCAGAGAGUAUUAAUUCUUCACUCCACAAUUCCAAACUGCUUUUAGAACACAGUAUAUGGACUCCUAAUACUUCCUACCACUGCCAGUAUGUAUAGAGGCAGAUGAUCCAGGGGAUUCUGGCACUGAUGAACAGACACAUAGGUCAAGACUAAAUUAGCGUCUGGUUUCCAAGCAGCAGCGGUUGAUCCAGGCCAACAAGCUGUCUGACAGAGUCUCUUUAUUCAGUCAGUAGAAAAAAUAGUAGUAGCAGUACUGGGGCUGAGCAUAUUACCUAAUAAAAUGCUUUACUUGGUAUAGCUACUUCUCUUUAGUAAAGUAUAGAGGGAACCAGAGACUGGAAACCGUGCAAGCACUCUGAAUAAUUAAUUGCUUCCUUGAAUGUAGAUAUCAUAUUUGAUGUGACCAAAGUAAUUGCAAAGCUUUGUCUCCAUCAACAGCAGUACAACUUUGGUAGUUCAGAAAUUCCCAUCAAAUGUUUUUGGAGUGAUUCCAUCUCUCUUAUUUGGCAGAGAAAACAUGAAAUUCGAGCAAAACAAAAAGUUGAGGAAAAAAAAUGACACUGUAGAAUUUUUGUCUCUUGAUCCCCUUCAGACCUGGCGUUUUGCCUUUUCAUUCCUUGGUGCCCAGUGGGAAACAUGAAGGAGGCUGAUACAUCAGUUUUCACCAUCUGCAAACUGCGAAGGAGAAAAGACCAAUUUCAUUGUGCAAAAAAAUCUAAAGUGAUAGCGAAGGCAAAAAGUUCAAAAUGCCAUUACCUUCUGUCAGAAAUGGAUCUUUAAAAGCAGAUAAAAGCUGAUCAUGUCCCUAAUGUAAAAUAAACUAGGAGAUGACAGGAAAAGAUAUUUAUAGGGAAUAGAAGGAAAGUGCUUUGCUUUGGAAUCCAGCCAUAAGGGAAAGUGCAGCUAAGGAUAAUUCAUUUCAGAAUCUUCCCCAGGCUGUGUUAGUCCUACUGCAAUUCUGCAGAAUAAUAGAACCAAAAUGCUCUUUUCUGGAGUUGUAGGUUCAAUUUCAUUGCUUUUUUUUUUCUUUCUUUCUUUCCCCUUUUAUCAACCCAAGAUGGACAGAUGUUUUAAUAUCUGGAAGGAUCAGCUAAGCUUAGGCUUAUUUUAUAUAUAUAUAUAUAACAGACUAUAUAUAACAGAAUGGCCUAUUCCUCUUCAAGGAAUUAUGUCAACAAAAUCUUACAAAGCAAAUUGGUCAGAGUGGGAAUUGGUUGCCAGUAUGCCUGAUCCAAAGACAAAGAAGGAGCAUCUUACUGACACCAUUGUUACUGACACCACUGAUGUCAGCUGGUUGUGAAGCAGGCCCUAGGGGAUAGUGCUUACAUAUAUAUCUAAAAAAAAAACCAAAAAACCCCCCAAAACAGAAAAAAAGACAAAACAAAAAACAUAUUUGCAUUUGAACCUUGCUACAUUAUGUAUUCAUAGAGGAUAUUUCAAAUCUUAAUUCACUGUAUUUAUUCCAGCUUUCGGAGAUAUUUUAAAUGUAUAUGAGAACACAGUCUCCUAAAUACAUUAUAUUUAAUGUUUAACAUGUUAAGAAAUCAUGUUUAAAAGUGAUUUCCUAACAAACUAAUGCAUAUUGCCUAGUUGCUACACUUACAAAAAUCUUGUCAGUGCUUAAAAAGAAACUAAGACACAUUAAAUGUCUCUAUGCUAUUUCAGCAGAUCAGUCUUCCAAAAAUCAAUAGUUUAGUGCCAUCCUUUAAAAAGUCUUUGGAUGGGACAGACAACUGAUCAAUUUAGAAUAGUUUUAAAAUAUUAUGCAUGCUUGUGAAGACUAAACAAAUUAGUUGUUGAGGGAACCAUAUUGCUACAGCAUUUUGAAAAUCACUUGAUGCAUAAUUUGAGCUUUGAUUCAGUAAAGUAUGGAAACAUAAGCUUAAAGCUAAGUGUUUUCUGUCACACUUCUUUUGUCCUGUCUGUAACAUGCAGCCAGCAUGUAUGAUAAGAAAAAAGAUUCUGCAGUGUAAGACUUCAACUAUGACUUCUUAUUGUUUGAGAAGAUGGACCGGGGAAAUGGAAAUCUGCCAAGGUAACUAAGAUACUUAGCAGACAGUGAUAUGAUAAUAGCAGAUUUAAAGACCCAUCAAAAAAUUAAGAUCAAAUACACUAUUUAUUUUUCUGUAAUGUAAAACAGAUGGCAUCUGGACAGACAAGAAAUGUGAAUUUAUGUCACAGUCAGGAGAGCCAUCCACAUUAUUGCUGGCAUGGACAUGGUAAAGUCAAGUCAAUCUCUAAGUGAAGAACAAGAAGAAUAAAAGAUCCUCCCUCUGAGGAAUUUUUGCCAAGGCAAGGAGACUAUGCAUGGGCAGAAAUGGUCUAACAGCUUGAAAAAUACACUUGUAGAGAAAAAGUGUCAAUAAAAACGCAAGAGUAUAAUAUAUUUACAUAAGGUAACAAAAAAUGCCUGAAAACCACAACUCCAGAUGCAGGUUCAAUUCAUAGAAAAACAACAACAAAAACAGUAAAAAAAAAAUGGAAGAAGUAGUCCAACUACUUCAAUGCAUUCCAAAUGAAGUAGAGAUAGGAAAACUGACAAGUUAGAACCUGGAGUUUUAAAGAACAUGUAACUCAAUUCCAAUCCCCUAACCCCCCCCCCCCCCCUUUUUUUUCCCCCUAGGAAAGCAGAGUUCGUACGGUCGGUCACAUAUUUUGACUUAAAUAGAUUUUUGAUCCUGUUUUGUAUGAAAUUUUCUCAUAAUAAAAAUGUUGAUGCAGAGCAUUUUAAGAAGCUAGUCAGAAGGCUGACACCGAAGGUCUGGUGACUGAAAAAAAAUGCCUGUGGAAGCUUAUUAUAAGGAUUCUAUUUCAGUAGAAACAACAUAACUACAGAACAAAGUACAAGUGGCAGUCCAUAGAAUCGUAAAAUAAUUUUGGGUUGGAAAAGACCUCUAAGGUCACCAAGUCACCACUAACCUUGCACUUCCAAGUCUACUACUAAACCAGGUCCUUAACAACCACAACUACACAUCUUUUAAAUAACAGCAGGCAUGUUGACUCAAAUGCUUCCCUGGUCAGCCUGUUCAAAUGCUUCACAACUUAUUCAGUGAAGACAUUUUUUGAAAUAUCCAGUCUCCUUUGGCACAGCUUGAGACCAUUUUUUCUUGUCCUGUCACUUGUUGCUUGGGAGAAGAGACUGACCUGCACCUUUCGGCAACCUCCUUUCAGGCAGCUGUAGAAAGCAAUUAGGUCCCUGAGACUCCUGUUCUCUGGGCUAAAUAAAUCCAAUUUCCUCAGCUGCUCCACAUGAGACUUAUGUUCCAGACCCUUUGCCAGUUUUACCGUGUUUCUUCGGACACACUCCAACACCAUGAUAUCUUUCCUGCAGUGAAGGGCCCAAAACAACAUCAUAUUUGAGGUGUGACCUCACCUGAGCCAAGCACAACAAUCACUUCCCCAGUCCUCCAGGCUGUCCUAUUUCUGGAUCUUAGUAGAUUACAGUCAGUAAGCCAUCUGGGAUUAUACGACAAGGAAAUAAUAUCUCCUCUAUCUGUCACUGUUAAGGUCUCUGCAUUGAUAUCAAAUACAAUUAAAAACCAUAAUGGAGAUCUGGGGUCUCAAAAUUGUAAACUAUAAUGAAAUAUAAAAGGAUCUCUCAAAUACGUGAGUUUAGGGAAACAUAACAAGAUGCUAUAAAUAUAAAAUGCUACUGUGAGGAUAAAGCAAAUAAUAUGUUCAUCAUAUGGUUGGGGCAGGAAACAAUACUCUUAAACUGAAGCAAGAAAGAUGCAGGCCAGACGUUUAUUUUCUUUUAAGGAUCCUGGGGCACUAGAACAGUAAUUUUAAUAUAAGUUCAAGAAGACUUAAAGACUGAAACAUAUAUUGAUUUUAUGCUAGGUGCAGAUGUACUACGUAACCUUAUUCUUCCUUCAUUUCCAUGAUCUGAGUAGUUGGUAAGGUGACAUUUAACACUAGUAUAAAGAACUAGAUUAAACAACUUCCUUGGAAUAUAAGUGGAAUUGGAGUAUCUUCUUCAUGUAAUGGUCUUUUAAAAUGUCAGCAUUAACAUAUCACAUUGUAUAAUGGUAGGUGUAAGUGGUAGUGUAAGUAAGAAUGGAAAGAGGUUUUUUAUUUUUGCGAGCAGAAAGAGUUCAAAUGUCUCCUUGGAACAAAUGGAAUAUUGAGCCUGUUCUGUAGCUGACAUCUUUCAGGAUAGGAACAAGAGAUAAAUCUGAUCUGUACCAACAUUAUUAACAUUAGCCUAUAUACAGCCAGCCUAGAUAGUCCUAAUAAUUGAGUGGAAUCUGGCAUAAUAGUAACUCAAUAUCUCAAAGCAACAUAGUAUAAAAAUUUCUGCUGCAAGUAUGAGAGAAGUAUAUGCCUGUGGCAUAUCAUUAUCCAAAAAACUAUCUUUCAGUAAAGCAGUGUUUCAUUUUUUAGUUUAACUCCAUCAUAAUUAUUUUUAGAGAUGACAGGAAAAUUUCAGCACUCUCUGUGUAUCUUUCACUAAAAAGAAUCUAAUGUGCCAGAGAACACAUCUUUGCAAAAUGGCCACAGAAAUGCUUCAUGAAUGUUGUUACUGAGCAUGACAAUAUUUAUGAUAAAACAAACUACUAAACCAGGAAAAAAAAUACAGUAUGAUAAAGAUAUAUAAAGUUUUAUAAAGUAUAAAGUUAUUAUAAAAUUUUGUCAAAUGGAGGUAAGUUUUUCAAGAAUGCUGAAAGACCCCAGCUAAAAUGAGGAGCGGCAUGAUAAACUUGUCUGCUAUGUUAACAAUUAGUUGUUUACAGAGCUAAGAAUAGAUACCUGGUACUAAACACAGCAGUUUAAAACACUGGAAAGAGGAAGAAUUAGUUUUACAUAAACAUAGUUGUACAUUCACAAACUUGAACUGUACACAUUUUAUUCUCAUGUUUCUUUCAGAUUUGUCUCAAAAGGGAAUAUUUUCACUAUUUAUAUGAUCUAGUGUCUACUAUACUUUGUGCAGUCACUAAAGUUAAGAUCUCAAGAAAUCUGAUCUAUUUUAAACGGGAUUGGAAAAAUCCUCCAUAAAUCUUUCAUCUCAGGGUUUGAAAACUCAUGAGACAGUAAAGAAAACUCAUGAGACAGUGAAUGAGACAUAAAGCAAGUUAAAUUAUCUUUACUGGCACUAUACAGUUGAUAUGUUACUGUUUUCUCCAUUUUUGUUUUCCAGUAAUUUUUAAUCUUGCAUAAAACUGUUUUAUAUAUUUAUGUAAGAUAAUCCUUUAAUCAUUAAUAUUAUUAACCUAACUUGAAAUUCGCAGUCCCAUGCAUGCAAUUUUGCUAACAAUACAAUUCUAGGCACUGAACAGACCUACCCAUCCAGUAUUUCCAGUUGAAAUUUACCUCUGCAAAAAAGUAAUCCGGCCGCCGGAGGGCAGUGUUGCUCUUCAUCAAUCUCAUUUUCAUCCUCCGUGUUUUGGAACGAAAAGGCAAGACUGCCAAAAUCAAGUUUAAGGGUGCGGUACUGAAAACGGCAUCCUUAUCGCUGCUCCUAGUAUUGCAUCUAGCACCUAAGCCUAAGAGCUCAGAAUUAGGGAAAAUGUACAGACAAAUUCCUACAGUCAGCUGUGUUUCUGAUGUACUUAAUUUACCAGUAGUUAGGCGGCUAUACAUCUUGGGGGAUGUUCCAAUCUAUUUUGACGACACUGAACCUAUGCAACUUUAAUAGAAACAGUAGAUUUCAGUUUGAGCUAUAUAAUUUGGAAGCACUGAAUAAUAAAGCAUAUUUCUGAAAAUGACAUCCUUGAUUUCCUCCUCAAGGGCUCUGGUAUUGCUGUUUUGUUUUUAGGGUACAGAUGUUAUGAAAUUUUAGAGCAAUGCAUUCCAGACAGCUUCAUGAAAUCCUUGAUUAUGAAGUCAUGCAUGUGCAGAGGUAUUGGCAAGACUCAUUUUUAUUCAAAUCCUUGGAAAUGAAGUAACAUACCAAAAGAGAUUCAAUCAAAUUAUUUCUGGGGAAAUCUUUCAGAUAAAAAAGAUGGUCAAAGCAGCAAAACUAGCCUUAUUCUUCUACUUCCUAUUAUUAUUAUUAUCAUCAUCAUCAUUAUUCAACGAAAUAGAGAUAUUUUUUGAAGCACUAACUCUCACCUUCAGUACUGCAUGUUAAGAUGAGACAAGUAUUUUGGUUGUUCUCUGUACUACCUGUGUAAAUAUUGCUAUUCUAUCAACUCCAAGUACAUGAAGGAGUAAUACAACAGAUUAUAAUGAUUCACAUUUUCUAACACCGAAUAAUACAGCUACAAAAAAUAUUUAUGCAAAAUUUGUUUAUAGAAUCCAAAAAAAAAAAAAAAAAAAAAAAAAAAGAUGGAUUUUCAUCUACUGCAUGGAGGUGAUUUCAUGCACAAUUAAACAUAGUCUUCUAUACACAUUUUUUUUAUCAAAGCUCAACAGAGGUAGAUGGGAAAUGAAUUUGAAUAUGUUAGAGGAGACUUUUACUUAGACCAUUUCCCCUGGGCAGAACAAAAUAAGAACUGGAAGAAGAGCUACGGCCCUGAGACUGAUAUAGCCACAUAAGUUUUAGGAAAUGAUAUUAAUCACAAGAACAAACAUAACUGGUUUGUGGUGGUAACUUCCUUCCUUCCUUCCUUCCUUCCUUCCUUCCUUCCUUCCUUCCUUCCUUCCUUCCUUCCUUCCUUCCUUCCUUCCUUCCUUCCUUCCUUCCUUCCUUCCUUCCUUCCUUCCUUCCUUCCUUCCUUCCUUCCUUCCUUCCUUCCUUCCUUCCUUCCUUCCUUCCUUCCUUCCUUCCUCCCUUCCUUCCUUCCUCCCUCCCUUCCUUCCUUCCUUCCUUCCUUCCUUCCUUCCUUCCUUCCUUCCUUCCUUCCUUCCUUCCUUCCUUCCUUCCUUCCUUCCUUCCUUCCUUCCUUCCUUCCUUCCCUCCUUCCUUCCUUCCCUCCUUCCUUCCUUCCCUCCUUCCUUCCUUCCCUCCUUCCUUCCCUCCCUCCUUCCUUCCCUCCUUCCUUCCUUCCCUCCUUCCUUCCUUCCUUCCUUCCUUCCUUCCUUCCUUCCUUCCUUCCUUCCUUCCUUCCCUCCUUCCUUCCUUCCUUCCUUCCUUCCUUCCUUCCUUCCUUCCUUCCUUCCUUCCUUCCUUCCUUCCUUCCCUCCUUCCUUCCUUCCCUCCUUCCUUCCCUCCCUCCUUCCUUCCCUCCUUCCUUCCUUCCUUCCUUCCUUCACUUCUCUUCACCUUUGAAUGAGAAAAAUUGAGAGCUAAAUAGCCAUAAGUGACCUACAAAUUAUUCCUGGUAUUGCAGAUGUUACUGAUAUCAUUAACAACAACAAGGGCUUUGAUUUUAAGCAAAAUAAAGGGAAAAAAAAGCCAUCAAUUUAUAAACAAUACCUCUGUGAUUCAUGGAUCUACUUUUGUCUUCCUAUUACUCCUCUAUUUCUUCAGACUUAUUUUUAUUUAGGGUUCAAUUUUUCUCACAGUGAAGGCAAGUGAAAUCUGCUGUCUUUAUCCUUUAUUGUGCAUGUCAUUUGUUAUACAUUGACUUUACCUCAAGCUCAUGGUAGCUUAUACCUGCUACAUUUCUCACAGAAGUUCCAAGCAGUCAUGAACAAAUUCUUGCAUCAGAUUUCUUACAGAAAGUUAUGGACAGAAUUUCCUGGGUCAGCUUUGAUAUCUGAGUUAUGGAAUACUACUGCAAUACCACAGCUAAAAUAGAUUUGUUUUUGAAAAGGCUGAAGCAGAUAUCUGGUGUUCUUUUAGUACUCUUCAAACAGACAUUUGGUGUUACUAGGUGAUGUAUAGUUUCCUCCUAGGUGAGCAAUAGAAGAUGUCAAUAGAAUAUCAUCCUUAUAUCUCAUUUGAAUCGAGAAUGCAUUACAAUAGCAACAAUCUAUGGCUGCUUUUGGAAGUUCUCAUUUCAUUUGCUUUCAUGUCAAUCCAUAGGCACUGAAAAUGCCUUUUUUUUUCCAUUGGGGCUUGACAAGUGUGGUUCUUUAACUGAUGAACAAACUGUUCAUUUAUCACUGCAGUGAAAACAGGAAUGUCAUUUCAGCUAUUUGGCCAGAAUAUGGUGAUGAUUGAGCUACGCUUUGAUAAAGCACAUGCCCUUAUAAUCUCCACUCUGAAGAUCAUGAACAGCAUAGAGUUCACACGAGGGGAUAAAAUUUACAAACAAUUACUUAUAUUUUUCAUACAAAAUGGAGUAUAUGAUACACCUGCUGAGACAAACAGUUGCUAACUAGAUGAAAAGCUAAAGGUUGCCAGAUGGGCAUUUGCACAUUCAUUACCAAUCUAGCACAGCCUACAGCAUUUCAUACUUUUUUCCCCAAGCUGCCCUAUGAAUUCUUUCUGAAAAUGUGAUGACGGUGGAAAUAGAAGAGCACUAAUGCUAAAGAGUCUGCUGGUUCCCCUUGGCUAGUGAUUCUUUAGGGGAAUCUUGGUAAACAGAGCACUCAAGCUAAUGCACAAGUAUUUAAAUAUCCUGAUGAUCUUCAGUGUCAGUUGCACCUAUGCUCAUAGAAAAUAGGUUUCAUAGAACUAACUUACUAUAUCAACUAUGAUGUCCAGACAGAUAGAUAAUAGUAAUAGCAAUGAAAUAAUAGACCAAUGAAAGUUAUAGUAUUAGUGUUACACAGAAUGAACAAAAAUUUAGGUUUAUACAGAAUAAGUCAUAUGCUAGAUGUGCACGAUUUAGAACCCUAAAUAAUGGAUUUCAAAGACAAUUUAAGCUAAAAUUCUUGACAAUGUUUCAUUCUUCCAGGAUCUUACCAUCCUUCCCUGCUUCUCCGUUAAUGUCAAAUUGGAUUAUGAAAAACACACAGUACUGUCCUUAAAAGUGCACCAAAGUUAUACUUACCUCAGGGAUACAAAAGAAAGAUUUUUUUUUUUCUUUCCCCCCCUCUUUUCCAGAACUCUGGGUGUUGUAAUGUCAUCAAUUCACUUUUUAAAAUUUCCUUUUAUUUAAAAUAAGAAAACUGGACCGUGAUACGGGACUAGGGGAUCAAAACUAGACUAAUAUAAACCUUACUUGACAUAUAUCUCAAACUUCAGUUAAUAGCAUAUCUAUGAUGCUACAGAUAGACAACGGGGUAUUACACCAGGCAUUAAGAAAUAAUAAGCAUAACAAAAAUGUGUGACAGUGAACAGAGCAAACAAGCAAAGUAGGUACAGUGGGAAUGAGCCAUGGUUUGACAUGACUGCUGAAAAGGAUUGAUUUUGUCUUCACAUUUCAGUCAGAUUUUCUAUGUGACAAGACCCUGAAUUUUGUAUGCAAUUUCAUUCCAUGUGUUUCCAUGAAGAAUAAAGGUCCUUUUUUUUUUUUUUUUUGUUAUUGAUGUUUUUUUUUUUUUUUUUUUUUUUUAAUUGUCUCUUUCUGGCUCAGCAUUCUUGCUCUCUGAGUUGCUAAGCCAUUACAUUACAUUAAGUCAUUUUCAACACAACUUGUCAAUUCUGUGAGCAUUCUCUUUCCAGAAUUCAAGUUAUGGUUACACUUUAUGACUACAUAGUUAUGACUGUCCUCUCAACUCCUCCUCCAGCUUUGACCUACCACACAGCCUGCGCUAAGGCCUGUGAUGGACACUAGGGGAAGAACUGUUUGAUCAAAGUCAGAGGAAUAGGUUGGCAAGACUCAAUGGACAGGAAGGAAUAUGUUACUGUGCAGCCACUGCCACUAGCAUCUUGCUGUCACCUUGCAGCUAUCAUCUCCUGCAUUCUUGCACUGUAAUUGUCCGGAAGUUUCUUCAGAAUACACUGAUACAGAAUAGAACAAACUUCCAGACAUAAAUACAUCGGUUUACCCCAAAAAAGCUUUUGAAGUAGAUCAGCUUGUGAGGCUUUCCUGCUUCCUGGUGCAAUAUAGGAAGAGAGGGAAGAAUGAGCACGCUUGACUUUUGCCUAGGCAACUGUUUUGGAUGCAGGCAUGCAAAUCACAAGUUAGGAAUUUGAGAAUUUGUGAGAGAAUUCAUGAAUUAAAGAAGUGAUUUAUUUGUGAAUUCAUGUUGAUGAG
ensembl:lncRNA